rnacentral:rRNA from 1 species
CACGUAGGGUGCGAGCGUUGUCCGGAAUUAUUGGGCGUAAAGAGCUCGUAGGUGGUUUGUCGCGUUGUCCGUGAAAACUCACAGCUUAACUGUGGGCGUGCGGGCGAUACGGGCAGACUGAAGUACUGCAGGGGAGACUGGAAUUCCUGGUGUAGCGGUGGAAUGCGCAGAUAUCAGGAGGAACACCGGUGGCGAAGGCGGGUCUCUGGGCAGUAACUGACGCUGAGGAGCGAAAGCGUGGGGAGCGAACAGG